rnacentral:sRNA from 1 species
GAGAAUCGAUUUUCAUUUUAGGCAGACCUCAAUUCCUUUACUACUCUCCUAAGGAGCAGCUGUGUUUUCGAAUUAAAUAAAAGUUACUUGCAGAGUCUGCGGAAGGUGAAGCUAAUGAAAACUGGUGGAACUUGCUGAGAUAAAACUGCUUCUCAAUAGGAAUCAACGAGUCCUACUCGAACUUGAGCAUCUCGGCAUCGAUUCGUUUAGAAUAAAGCUCACUUCCUUUUCUAUUCUCAUGUAGAUCAGACGCUCGCUUUAAUACUAUCAUAUAUAUACAGGUACUAUUAAAGCGAACGUCUGAUUCAUAUGAGUAUAGAAAAGGAACUGAGGUUGAUUCUAGAUGAAAUCGAAUAACUAACAAAGCCGGAGCUCCUACGAUUUUAAGUGCUUAAAUUAUACAACAACGUUUAUAAUUUACCAUAUUUUAAAGAGUUGCCGAUAUUAAACCCUCUGCAAGGGUAUAUCAACGUAUUUACACAAAUACAAUGGAGAGACAUAAACAAGAAAAUCAACUGCACUAAAUAUUGAGACAGAUCGCAACCAGCAAAGACCUUUACAGAAGGACUAACCGAUAUAACUGUAAAUAUUCAUCCUCUUUUGGCUCUGGCCCAAAAAAUGGAGUUAACAAGAAACUAUUC